rnacentral:rRNA from 1 species
GGUUGCCUACGGGAGGCAGCAGUGAGGAAUAUUGGUCAAUGGGAGAGAUCCUGAACCAGCCAAGCCGCGUGAGGGAAGACGGCCCUAUGGGUUGUAAACCUCUUUUGUCGGGGAACAAAACCCGGGACGUGUCCCGGACUGCGUGUAUCCGAAGAAAAAGCAUCGGCUAACUCCGUGCCAGCAGCCGCGGUAAUACGGAGGAUGCGAGCGUUAUCCGGAUUUAUUGGGUUUAAAGGGUGCGCAGGCGGCCUGUUAAGUCAGCGGUAAAAGCCCGGGGCUC